UUGCGGCUGGAUCACCUCCUUUCUAAGGAUGCCAGGAUUCAGAGGUCAGAAGUCAGUACUCCGUAUCAACGACUUCGCUCUAUCCUCGGCCUUAGAACAACGAAGGACAGCGGUCGGCAGUGAUCUCACGAUCACUGAAUCUGACCUCUGAUCCGGACAGGCGGGACACCGCCGUCUCCGUUUCUCUUUCUUCGCGGACGAGCCCAAUCAGGGAUCAGAAGUCGGGGGUCGGCAGGCAGCGUAGAGCUCUUGCCGUCGCUGACUUCCGACGACUGAUGACUGUCUCCUGACCCAAGGGCUUGUAGCUCAGUUGGUUAGAGCGCGCGCUUGAUAAGCGUGAGGUCGGAAGUUCAAAUCUUCCCAGGCCCACCACUUUCAG
rnacentral:tRNA from 1 species